GAUGAACGCUGGCGGCGUGCCUAAUACAUGCAAGUCGAGCGAAUGGAUUAAGAGCUUGCUCUUAUGAAGUUAGCGGCGGACGGGUGAGUAACACGUGGGUAACCUGCCCAUAAGACUGGGAUAACUCCGGGAAACCGGGGCUAAUACCGGAUAACAUUUUGAACCGCAUGGUUCGAAAUUGAAAGGCGGCUUCGGCUGUCACUUAUGGAUGGACCCGCGUCGCAUUGGCUAGUUGGUGAGGUAACGGCUCACCAAGGCAACGAUGCGUAGCCGACCUGAGAGGGUGAUCGGCCACACUGGGACUGAGACACGGCCCAGACUCCUACGGGAGGCAGCAGUAGGGAAUCUUCCGCAAUGGACGAAAGUCUGACGGAGCAACGCCGCGUGAGUGAUGAAGGCUUUCGGGUCGUAAAACUCUGUUGUUAGGGAAGAACAAGUGCUAGUUGAAUAAGCUGACACCUUGACGGUACCUAACCAGAAAGCCACGGCUAACUACGUGCCAGCCGCCGCGGUAA
rnacentral:rRNA from 1 species